rnacentral:rRNA from 1 species
CGAAAGCAUGGGGAGCGAACAGGAUUAGAUACCUGGUAGUCCAUGCCGUAAACGUUGGGCACUAGGUGUGGGGACCAUUCCACGGUUUCCGCGCCGCAGCUAACGCAUUAAGUGCCCGCCUGGGGAGUACGGCCGCAAGGCUAAAACUCAAAGGAAUUGACGGGGGCCCGCACAAGCGGCGGAGCAUGCGGAUUAAUUCGAUGCAACGCGAAGAACCUUACCAAGGCUUGACAUGUUCUCGAUCGCCGUAGAGAUACGGUUUCCCUUUGGGGUGGGUUCACAGGUGGUGCAUGGUUGUCGUCAGCUCGUGUCGUGAGAUGUUGGGUUAAGUCCCGCAACGAGCGCAACCCUCGUUCCAUGUUGCCAGCACGUCGUGGUGGGGACUCAUGGGAGACUGCCGGGGUCAACUCGGAGGAAGGUGAGGACGACGUCAAAUCAUCAUGCCCCUUA